AGUCCCUUAACGAGCGAAACCCCUAUCACUAGUUACCAGCGGGUAAAGCCGGGCACUUUAGUGAGACUGCCGUUGUCAAAACGGAGGAAGGUGGGGAUGACGUCAAGUCAUCAUGGCCCUUACGCCUAGGGCUACACACGUGCUACAAUGGCCGGUACAGAGGGAAGCAGAGCCGCGAGGUGAAGCAGACCCCAGAAAGCCGUCCCCAGUUCGGAUUGCAGGCUGCAACUCGCCUGCAUGAAGUUGGAAUCGCUAGUAAUCGCGGAUCAGCUACGCCGCGGUGAAUAUGUUCCUGAGCCUU
rnacentral:rRNA from 1 species